AGAGGAGUUCUAAGUAUGAGAAA
rnacentral:miRNA from 1 species